rnacentral:rRNA from 1 species
AGCGUCUCAAGCGAAAGCAUUAAGUAAUCCACCUGGGGAGUACGUGCGCAAGCAUGAAACUCAAAGGAAUUGACGGGGGCCCGCACAAGCGGAGGAACAUGUGGUUUAAUUCGAUGAUACGCGAGGAACCUUACCCGGGCUCAAACGACAGGGGAAUGUGUGGGAAACUGCACAGCCGGUAACGGUCGCUGUCGAGGUGCUGCAUGGUUGUCGUCAGCUCGUGCCGUGAGGUGUCGGCUUAAGUGCCAUAACGAGCGCAACCCUUAUUGUUAGUUGCCAGCGGGUAAUGCCGGGGACUCUAGCAAAACUGCCGGCGUAAGCUGUGAGGAAGGUGGGGAUGACGUCAAAUCAGCACGGCCCUUACGUCCGGGGCGACACACGUGUUACAAUGGGGGGUACAGAAGGUUGCUACCACGCGAGUGGAUGCCAAUCCCGAAAGCCUCUCUCAGUUCGGAUCGAAGUCUGCAACCCGACUUCGUGAAGCUGGAUUCGCUAGUAAUCGCGCAUCAGCCAUGGCGCGGUGAAUACGUUCCCGGGCCUUGUACACACCGCCCGUCAAGCCAUGGAAGUUGAGGGGACCUGAAGUACGUAACCGCAAGGAGCGUCCUAGGGUAAACUCGAUAACUGGGGCUAAGUCGUAACAAGGUAACCGUA